CCUACGGGUGGCAGCAGUGAGGAAUAUUGGUCAAUGGACGAGAGUCUGAACCAGCCAAGUAGCGUGAAGGAUGAAUGCCCUAUGGGUUGUAAACCUCUUUUAUAUGGGAAUAAAAUGUUCCACGUGUGGAAUUCUGUAUGUACCAUACGAAUAAGGAUCGGCUAACUCCGUGCCAGCAGCCGCGGUAAUACGGAGGAUCCGAGCGUUAUCCGGAUUUAUUGGGGUUAAAGGGAGGGUAGGCGGAGUGUUAAGUCCAGUGUGAAAGUUUGCGGCUCAACCGGAAAAUUGCAGUUGAAACUGGCAGUCUUGAGUACAGUAGAGGUAGGCGGAAUUCGUGGUGUAGCGGUGAAAUGCAUAGAUAUCACGAAGAACUCCGAUUGCGAAGGCAGCUUGCUGGACUGCAACUGACGCUGAGGCUCGAAAGUGUGGGUAUCAAACAGGAUUAGAUACCCUGGUAGUC
rnacentral:rRNA from 1 species